GCCGACGUAGCUCAGUGGCAGAGCAACUGUUUCGUAAACAGUAGGUCGUGAGUUCGAUUCUCACCGUCGGCUCCA
rnacentral:tRNA from 1 species